AUAAAACACAAGGAUUAGAAGUUGAUGCUGACUCCAGUUUUAGUAAGAACUGGCACAUGUUGCAGCCUGCAGUUAAACGUGCACGCCCCUCACUGCUCACCUUCAGCAGGAGGAUUCUUCAUGAGUUCCCUAGCCUUCCUGCAUGAAUUCCAAACCAUAAGGAAUGAACUGCAUAAGUCCUUCAAUAUGCAGCUCAAUAAGGAAUUGCACUAUGUUAAACCAUAUAAUGUUCAGGUUCAAGGGGCGCACCACGCACCGGUUUAGUUGAGAUAAGUUUCGGUCUAGGUUAGUUAGAGUAUAUGGUUGUAAUCUCUUUAUGUAUAUCCUAUCUCUACUUUCCUUGUAUCUCAAGAUGUAAUCUCAACAAACUUGUAUGCUUAUCAGGGAUAUGCCCCUGCCUAUAUUAACACGAAACCGUCGCCUCGAGAGAGGUACGACGUUCUCCGCUGUUUCACAUGGUAUACGGAGCCACCUCUAUUCAUCGCAUCUAGCAAAACCCAUCCACCGCCAGCCAUGUCGUCCUCCUCCAGCACCGUCCAGGCUUCCCUUGGGCAGGUUGCAGAAAAGCUCACCCGCACCAACUACGUCCUAUGGCGUGCGCAGGUGACACCGCAGCUGAGAGGGGCUGGCCUCUUUGGCUACGCCGACGGCUCCAUGCCAGAACAUGUCAAGAUCCUCGUCACGAAGGACAAAGACGGGAAAGAAGAGCAGACGCCGAACCCUCUCCAUCCGAUCUGGUUCAAAGAAGGGCAGCAGGUACUUGGAUACUUGCUCAAUACUCUCACCAAAGAGGUCCUCGUGCAGGUUACCUCCAUCGCCACGCCGCACGAGCUCUGGGCGGCUCUCGCCCACAUGUUCUCGUCGCAGUCUCGAGCCCGCGUCAACAACAUCCGGGUUGCUCUCUCCACGGCGCAGAAGGGGACGCAAUCUGUUGCUGCCUACUUUGCCCAGAUGAGAGCACUCGCCGAUGAGCUCGCAGCCGCCGGAAAGCCCAUCGAUGACGAUGAGCUUGUUUCCUACAUCACCGCCGGCCUCGACAUGGAGUAUCAACCCCUCGUCUCCGCCAACGACGUGCGCACCGACACCAUCAACAUCGACGACCUCUACGCUCAGAUGAGCAACUUUGAUCAGCGCCUCGCCCUCUACAACAACAACUCGGGCGGGGGCUUCAAGUCAUCUGCUAACAUGGUCUCUCGCGGCGGCGGUCGCGGCGGUGGCGGUUCACGCUAUCGUGGACCUCCGCGCGACAAGGGCAAGCCACCAUCAGGCGGAAACAGCAGCGGCGACAACUCCUCUCGUGGUGGCGGCGGCGGCGGCGGGCGGCCCUCCAACAACAACAACAGGGGCCGCCGUGGUGGCAGGCCUCGCACCAACCCUGAUGCGCCGCGAUGCCAAAUCUGCGGCAAGCUAGGCCACACCGCCCGCGACUGCUGGUAUCGCUAUGAAGAUGAUGGCGAAUCCUCACAAGAUGAGAAAGUUGCAGGUGCUGCUGAUGGCUCCUACGACAUCGACAUGAACUGGUAUGUGGACAGUGGCACAACUGGCCACAUCACGAGCGAGCUGGAAAAGGUGGCAGUUCGUGAGAAAUACCGCGGGCAAGACCAAGUUCACAACUGCCAACGGAGAAGGUAUGAGCAUUAGCCACGUUGGUCAUUCAGUGCUUAAACCCCCCCAUAGAAAUAUUCGUCUAAGAAAAUUUUUGCAUGUCCCUAGUGCUUCGAAAAAUCUCCUUUCAGUUCAUCGCAUUGCCAUUGACAACCAUGUAUUCCUUGAGUUUCAUCCAUCUUUCUUUUUGAUCAAGGAUCAGGUCACGAAGAAAAUUCUGUAUCGAGGUAGAUGCAUUCGAGGGUUGUACCCGUUGAUUCCGGAGCUUAGGAGAUUGAAUAAACAAGCCUAUGGUGUCACCAAAGUCUCUUCAACACGGUGGCAUGAUAGAUUAGGGCAUGCAUCUUUUUCUUUAGUUGAACAUUUGCUUAAAAAGAAUAAGCUCCCGUUUGUUGGUGAGCGAUAUCGUGAAACAAUUUGUGAUUCAUGUCAGUGUGCUAAAUGAAGGGGAGCCUUGGCGCAGUGGUAAAGUUGCUGCCUUGUGACCAUGAGGUCAUGGGUUCAAGUCCUGGAAACAGCCUCUUACAGAAAUGUAGGGAAAGGCUGCGUACUAUAGACCCAAAGUGGUCGGACCCUUCCCUGGACCCUGCGCAAGCGGGAGCUACAUGCACCAGGUUGCCCUUUAUGUCAGUGUGCUAAAUGUCAUCAACUACCUUAUCCUGUGUCUACAAGCAUCUCCACCAAACCUCUUGAGCUCAUUUUUUCCGAUGUUUGGGGUCCUGCUCCUAAAUCAAUUGGCAGACACACUACGUGAGUUUUAUCGAUGACUAUAGCAAGUACAUGUGGAUCUAUCUCAUCAAAAAGAAAUCUGAUGUAUUUCAAGUUUUUCACAACUUUCAAGCACUAGUAGAAAGAAAGUUUGAUUGCAAGAUCCUAGCUCUCUAAUCCGAUUGGGGAGGGGAGUACCGCAACCUCAACUCCUUUUUCAGCAAAUUGGUAUAUCACACCACGUGUCAUGCCCCCAUGCUCACCAGCAAAACGGAUCAGCCGAGCGCAAGCACAGGCAUAUAGUUGAGGUCAGCCUAGCCUUACUUGCUGCUGCCUCUAUGCCUUUGAAAUUCUGGGAUGAGGCUUUUCUCACUGCAGUCCACCUCAUAAACAUGUUGCCUAGUAGAGUCAUCAACAAUGAAUCUCCAGUAGAACGUCUCCUUCAUACAAAACCUGAUUACACAUCUCUACGAGUGUUUGGGUGUGCGUGUUGGCCGAAUCUUCGGCCAUAUAACAACCGCAAACUCAUGUUCCGAUCAAAACAGUGUGUUUUCUUGGGCUAUAGUCCACAACAUAAGGGUGUAAAGUGUCUUGACGUAUCCACUGGACGUGUCUAUAUUUCCCGUGACGUUGUGUUCGAUGAAACUGUUUUCCCUUUUGCACAACUUCAUCCAAACGCCGGAGCCCUUCUUCAAAAGGAGAUUCUUCUUCUACCUUCACAUCUCACCGGUCGUGACAAUGGGGAUGUUUUAGACACUGAUGAUCAAUUGUUGACUAAUCCUCUUACUAAUGAUGGUCUUGAGUCUUGUGAUGCAACAGAAAAAAAUUGUGCAGAAAAUGGUGAAGAAAUCAGCUCAAAUCAACAUUUUAUGCUUCCUGGACAAAACAGCAGCAGCAGCGGAGCGGAUCUACCUCAGGAUCCAGGCGCAUCCCCCUCGGGAUCGCUUCUGCGCCAGUCUGCCACCCUGGCCCCCGCGGGAUCCGCGCCAGACCGAUCCGCCCCGAGCCCCGCGUCGCCCCACGCCACCAGCGGCUCGGUGGACCGCCCAGUGGCCGCUCCGCGCCAACCCACCAGCGCCACGUGGCGCCAACUGCAGCCGCCCGCGCCUGGUCCCGCGCCCGGCCCCGCGUCUGGCCCCGCACCUGGUCGGUUCGGCCCCGACACGCGCUGCUACGUGCGGCGCCCAUCACGGCAGGAUACGGGCGCUGAUUCCUGUGUGGAUCCCGCUGCAGCCCCUGUCCCACCGGCGCAAUCAUUGCAAAAUCAUGCGCCCCCUGUUGGAUCGUGAUCCUCUGCGGCGCCCUCUUCUUCAGCUUCACGUGCGUCGGCCACAGAAGAUCUGGUCUGCAUGUCCUCGCCCAGCGAGCCUGCAGCUGUUCCUGGCGCUGGAUCUUCUGCGGAUCCUUCUUCACCACCUCGCACUAGGCUUCAGAGGGGAGUAACUCAACCCAAAAAAUACAAGUCUUUAGCAAAGUUUGGACUUGCUUGUGUUUCACAUGAACCAGAUAUCCCACACUCUGUUGCAGAAGCUCUAGGCGAUCCAAAGUGGCAGAAGGCUAUGGAAGAUGAAUACAUGGCGCUCCACAAAAAUAAAACUUGGCACUUAGUUCCAGCACGUCAAGGCAAAGGUAAAAAUGUUAUAGAUUGUAAAUGGGUCUUCAGAAUUAAAAAGAAAUCUGAUGGCACCAUACAUCGUUAUAAGGCUAGACUAGUUGCAAAAGGAUUUAAGCAAAGGUACGGUCUAGACUAUGAGGAUACUUUUAGUCAUGUAGUGAAAGCUGCUACUAUUCGUCUCGUUUUGUCUAUUGCUGUAUCCAGAGGAUGGAGUCUACGUCAGCUAGAUGUUCAGAACGCGUUUCUUCAUGGUGUUCUGGAAGAGGAAGUGUUCAUGAAACAACCUCCUGGGUUUGAAAACAGACAAAACCCCUCCACAUAUGCAAGCUUGACAAGGCUCUAUAUGGAUUAAAAUAAGCUCCUAGAGCAUGGUAUUCUCGGUUGAGUUCAAAGCUUCAAGGACUUGGGUUUGCUCCGUCCAAGUCUGACACCUCACUGUUUAUUUUCAACAAGUCAAAUACAUCUAUAUUUGUACUCAUAUAUGUUGAUGAUAUUAUUGUCACAAGCUUAUCUGAUGAAGCUAUUUCAGCACUCCUCAAGGAUUUGAACUCUGAGUUUGCUCUUAAGGAUCUAGGAGACUUGCACUACUUCCUUGGCAUUGAAGUAAAAAAGAAAUGGAGAUGAGCUUCACUUGUCCCAAGAGAAGUAUGCCACUGAUCUUGUAGCAAGAGCAGGGUUGCAAGGUUGCAAGGCAGCUCCAACACCUCUAUCCAGCUCUGAGAAACUAUCCUUAACAGAAGGGAAACUCUUGAAUCAAGAGGAUAACACCAGGUACAGAAGUAUGGUUGGUGCACUGCAAUAUUUAACUCUGACUAGGCCUGAUAUUUCUUUUGCUGUGAACAAAGUAUGUCAUUUCCUUCAUGCACCCACUACAGUACAUUUGACAGCUGCAAAACGCAUACUUAGAUAUGUCAAGAACACUUUCAGUGUUGGACUCACCUUCACCAAGUCACCAUCAACACUUGUAAGUGCCUUUUCUGACUCUGAUUGGGCAGGUUGCCUUGAUGACAGACGCUCAACAGGUGGUUUUGCAGUGUUCUUUGGUCCAAAUUUAAUCUCAUGGUGUGCUAAGAAACAAGCUACUGUGUCUAGAUCCAGCACAGAAGCAGAAUACAAAUCAUUAGCAAAUGCUACUGCAGAAAUUAUUUGGGUUUAGUCAUUACUGAAAGAGCUUGGGAUACAUAGUAAACAGGCUCCAUGCUUAUGGUGUGACAAUCUGGGUGCCACCUAUCUUUCUGCUAACCCAAUAUUUCAUGCAAGAACAAAACAUAUCGAAAUAGAUUUUCACUUUGUCAGAGAAAGAGUUGCAGAAAAAAUGCUGGAUAUUCGGUUCAUUCGGUCUCAAGACCAAGUUGCAGAUGGCUUCACUAAAGCUUUGCCUACCAGAGGUGUUGAAGAAUUUAAGCGUAAUCUCAACUUGUCCAAGUUGUGAUUAUGGGAGGGUGUUAAACCAUAUAAUGUUCAGGUUCAAGGGGCGCACCACGCACCGGUUUAGUUGAGAUAAGUUUCGGUCUAGGUUAGUUAGAGUAUAUGGUUGUAAUCUCUUUAUGUAUAUCUUAUCUCUACUUUCCUUGUACCUCAAGAUGUAAUCUCAACAAACUUGUAUGCUUAUCAGGGAUAUGCCCCUGCCUAUAUUAACACGAAACCGUCGCCUCGAGAGAGGUAUGACGUUCUCCGUUGUUUCACACACUAUACGUGACUGAGACAGAAGUGGCACAUAACGAACAAAAGAAGCUCUUCAGAGGCGUCUAAGGAAUUGCACUAGUGGCUUUUGCCGUGAUAGUCUAGUGUGCUACUGCUUCCCAUCACUAUAAAAUCACUUCCCCAAUCUAAAAUCAAUUUUUAACCAUACAAAACUGCUGCAUGUAUUGAUUAAUAUAGAAGAUUGCACGCCAAAGAUGGCACAAUCCAUACAAUGCUCAAAGAACACACAACCAAAGGAACGCCAAACCGGGAAGGACCUAGCGAUACCUAGACAAGUGCAAAGUAGGAGUACAAGUGUACAACACGAGGGCACGGAAGCAACAACCAUCAGCACAUGCAGCGCCAGUUAGUGUGACAACACACCCGUACCGAGCCAACCUAAGACUAUACUGGUAUCGGGAAGAUAUUCAGAAGAGAUAACCGUAGGAGAGUAGGUUACCGUAGUUCACGCUCAAUUUCAGCAUUCCCAGGAUCCAGCUUUUGUGCAUCCAAGAGAGCAU
rnacentral:lncRNA from 1 species